UACGUUGGGGGAAAGGGAUUGUUAGUAACGGGAUCUAACUGACCCAUUGCUAGCAAUACACUCCAUUCAACCUCCACGCGGUUCCCCCUGGAAACCAUCGUGAUUAAUUCUAAUGGAAUUCGUCUCGAUGGGUUAACUGAAAUGUGCUUUAAAUACAGGCAAAAUAUAUCAAAUUUCCGAAGACGUCAGAGGAAAGAAAAGCUAACAUCAUUUGUAACGCUGAUCUCCAUCACAAGUGAGGAUGCCAGCGCCAGCUAUGGAGGAGCUACUCGUGACUCUUUCAUUUGGACAAAUCACACCCUAGGACAGCGUUUAGAACUGUUAAACAAAUAUGAGUCCAUUUUAGUUACUUGGUGAUUCAGGACAUGCUCUUAGAAAGUGUACGGUGACUCCCAUUACUACCAGAGGGAGACUGUACAAAAGUCGUUUGCUUGGCCACCUCUGUCCUAUUCGUGUUUCUACCGUGAAGCAGCUGUGUUUGCAUGG